GCUGGGCACAGUGGCUUGUGCCUGUAAUUCCAGCUACCUGAGAGGCUGAGGCAGGAGGAUCACUUGAGACCAGGAGUUCAAAGUUGCAGUGAGCUAUGACCAUGCCACUGCAUUCCAGCCUGGGCAACAGGGCAAGACCCUGUCUCAU
rnacentral:SRP_RNA from 1 species